rnacentral:snRNA from 1 species
GUGCUCGCUUUGGCAACACAUAUACUACAACUGGAAUGAUACAGAGAAGAUUAGCAUAGCCCCUGUGCAAGGAUGACAUGCAAAUUUAAAAAAAAGUUUGUUU